rnacentral:rRNA from 1 species
ACAAGCGGAGGAGCAUGUGGUUUAAUUCGAUGAUACGCGAGGAACCUUACCUGGGCUCGAACGUAAGAUGACUGUAGGUGAAAGCUUACAUCUCUUCGGAGCAUUUUACGAGGUGCUGCAUGGUUGUCGUCAGCUCGUGCCGUGAGGUGUCGGUUAAGUCCCAUAACGAGCGCAACCCUACCUUUAGUUGCCAUCAGGUAAUGCUGGGGACUCUAAAGGAACUGCCUACGCAAGUAGUGAGGAAGGCGGGGAUGACGUCAAAUCAGCACGGCCCUUACGUCCAGGGCUACACACGUGCUACAAUGGCCGAUACAGAGGGCAGCUACCUGGUGACAGGAUGCAAAUCUCCAAAGUCGGUCUCAGUUCGGAUCGGAGUCUGCAACCCGACUCCGUGAAGUUGGAUUCGCUAGUAAUCGCGCAUCAGCCAUGGCGCGGUGAAUACGUUCCCGGGCCUU